rnacentral:rRNA from 1 species
UACAGAGGUGGCAAGCGUUGUUCGGAAUUACUGGGCGUAAAGGGCUCGUAGGCGGCCAACUAAGUCACACGUGAAAUCCCUCGGCUCAACCGGGGAACUGCGUGUGAGACUGGAUGGCUUGAGUUUGGGAGAGGAAUGCGGAAUUCCAGGUGUAGCGGUGAAAUGCGUAGAUAUCUGGAGGAACACCGGUGGCGAAGGCGGCAUUCUGGACCAACACUGACGCUGAGGAGCGAAAGCCAGGGGAGCAAACGGG